CCUGGUGACUAUGGCAGAGAGGAAACGCCUGAUCCCAUCCCGAACUCAGAAGCUAAGCUCUCUAGCGCCAAUGGUACUGUGGGGGUCCCCAUGGGAGAGUAGGACGUUGCCAGGA
rnacentral:rRNA from 6 species